UAGCUAUGUUCGGAAGGGAUAACCGCUGAAAGCAUCUAAGCGGGAAGCCUGCCUCAAGAUAAGAUUUCCCUGAAGGACCCCGGAAGACUACCGGGUUGAUAGGUCGAUUGUGUAAGCACGGUAACGUGUUAAGCUUAUCGAUACUAAUUGUCCGUUCGGCUUUCCAUU
rnacentral:rRNA from 1 species